rnacentral:rRNA from 1 species
GAGUUUGAUCGUGGCUCAGAGUGAACGCUGGCGGUAGGCCUAACACAUGCAAGUCGAACGGUAACAGGUCUUUCGGGAUGCUGACGAGUGGCGGACGGGUGAGGAAUACAUCGGAAUCUGCUCAGUCGUGGGGGAUAACGCAUGGAAACGUGCGCUAAUACCGCAUACGACCUUCGGGUGAAAGCAGGGGAAUCUCUCGGGAUCCUUGCGCGAUUGAAUGAGCCGAUGUCGGAUUAGCUAGUUGGUAGGGUAAAAGCCUACCAAGGCCACGAUCCGUAGCUGGUCUGAGAGGAUGAUCAGCCACACUGGGACUGAGACACGGCCCAGACUCCUGCGGGAGGCAGCAGUGGGGAAUAUUGGACAAUGGGGGCAACCCUGAUCCAGCCAUACCGCGUGGGUGAAGAAGGCCUUCUGGGUUGUAAAGCCCUUUUGUUGGGGAAGAAAAACAACGGGUUAAUACCCCGUUGGUAUGACGGUACCCAAAGAAUAAGCACCGGCUAACUUCGUGCCAGCAGCCGCGGUAAUACGAAGGGUGCAAGCGUUACUCGGAAUUACUGGGCGUAAAGGGUGCGUAGGUGGUUGCGCCAGUCUGUCGUGAAAGCCCUGGGCUUAACCUGGGAAUGGCGAUGGAAACUGUGCAACUAGAGUGUGACAGAGGGUGGUGGAAUUCCUGGUGUAGCAGUGAAAUGCGUAGAGAUCAGGAGGAACAUUCGUGGCGAAGGCGGCCACCUGGGUCAACACUGACACUGAGGCACGAAAGCGUGGGGAGCAAACAGGAUUAGAUACCCUGGUAGUCCACGCCCUAAACGAUGCGAACUGGAUGUUGGGUCCAACUUGGGAUUCAGUAUCGAAGCUAACGCGUUAAGUUCGCCGCCUGGGGAGUACGGUCGCAAGACUGAAACUCAAAGGAAUUGACGGGGGCCCGCACAAGCGGUGGAGUAUGUGGUUUAAUUCGAUGCAACGCGCAGAACCUUACCUGGCCUUGACACGCACGGAACCUUU